GUGGGGAAUCUUGCGCAAUGGGCGAAAGCCUGACGCAGCCAUGCCGCGUGAAUGAUGAAGGUCUUAGGAUUGUAAAAUUCUUUCACCGGGGACGAUAAUGACGGUACCCGGAGAAGAAGCUCCGGCUAACUUCGUGCCAGCAGCCGCGGUAAUACGAAGGGGGCUAGCGUUGCUCGGAAUUACUGGGCGUAAAGGGCGCGUAGGCGGACAGCUUAGUCAGAGGUGAAAGCCCAGGGCUCAACCUUGGAAUUGCCUUUGAUACUGGCUGUCUUGAGUUUGGGAGAGGUGAGUGGAACUCCGAGUGUAGAAGUGAAAUUCGUAGAUAUUCGGAAGAACACCAGUGGCGAAGGCGACUCACUGGCCCAAUACUGACGCUGAGGCGCGAAAGCGUGGGGAGCAAACAGGAUUAGAAACCCUGGUAGUCC
rnacentral:rRNA from 1 species